UCACUCUAUUCUUUUAGAAAUGGAUUUGAGCGUAAAUGGCUUUCUCUUAU
rnacentral:tRNA from 1 species